rnacentral:snoRNA from 1 species
AUCCCUUGGGGCUCAUAAAUGUGAUGACUGGGUGUUCACAAUAUUGUGAGGCGCACCUCCCCUGUUUCCUCAUGGGCACAUUACCCAUCUGACA